GAAAUUCUUCGGGGCAGGGUGCGAUUCCCUACCGGCGGUAACAGUCCGCGACCCGUAUUUUACGGCUGAACCGGUGAGAUUCCGGUACCGACAGUAUAGUCUGGAUGAGAGAAGAAAUGA
rfam:Blautia sp. An46 An46_contig_36, whole genome shotgun sequence.